rnacentral:rRNA from 1 species
AGAGGGUGAUUCUGGCUCAGGAUGAACGCUAGCUACAGGCUUAACACAUGCAAGUCGAGGGGCAUCAGGAUGUAGCAAUACAUUGCUGGCGACCGGCGCACGGGUGAGUAACACGUAUCCAACCUGCCUUUUACUCGGGGAUAGGCUUCCGAAAGAAAGAUUAGUACCCGAUGGUAUAAUAUUUCCGCAUGGGAUUAUUAUUAAAGAAUUUCGGUAAAAGAUGGGGAUGCGUUCCAUUAGGCAGUUGGCGGGGUAACGGCCCACCAAACCUUCGAUGGAUAGGGGUUCUGAGAGGAAGGUCCCCCACAUUGGAACUGAGACACGGUCCAAACUCCUACGGGAGGCAGCAGUGAGGAAUAUUGGUCAAUGGGCGGAAGCCUGAACCAGCCAAGUAGCGUGAAGGAUGACUGCCCUAUGGGUUGUAAACUUCUUUUAUAGGGGAAUAAAAUGAGCCACGUGUGGCUUUUUGUAUGUACCCUAUGAAUAAGGAUCGGCUAACUCCGUGCCAGCAGCCGCGGUAAUACGGAGGAUCCGAGCGUUAUCCGGAUUUAUUGGGUUUAAAGGGAGCGUAGGUGGACAUGUAAGUCAGUUGUGAAAGUUUGCGGCUCAACCGUAAAAUUGCAGUUGAUACUGUGUGUCUUGAGUACAGUAGAGGUGGGCGGAAUUCGUGGUGUAGCGGUGAAAUGCUUAGAUAUCACGAAGAACUCCGAUUGCGAAGGCAGCUCACUGGACUGUUACUGACACUGAGGCUCGAAAGUGUGGGUAUCAAACAGGAUUAGAUACCCUGGUAGUCCACACAGUAAAC